CGGGACUGAACACAGAGAGCAAGAUGGAAGCUAAUGAAUCUGAAGCUGCAGCGGCCCACGGGGGCCAGGCCUGGAAGGGCCCUGGGAGACCAGCGUGAAGAUGAGGAGUUUCUCUAACUGGAAGACUCAAAACCAUCUGUGAAAUAAAACUAAGAUGGCCAGUGGGAAAGCAAUAAUUACGAAAGCAG
rnacentral:lncRNA from 1 species